rnacentral:rRNA from 1 species
GAUGAACGCUGACAGCAUGCUUAACACAUGCAGUCACUGAUUGUGGCGGACGGGUGAGUAACGCGUAAAGAACUUGCCUCACAGCUAGGGACGAAAUAUGGAAACGAAUGCUAAUACCUAAUACUGUGAGAGAGUUUUGCGUCACAGUAGCUAGUUGGAGAGGUAACGGCUCACCAAGGCGAUGAUGGGUAGCCGGCCUGGGAGGGUGAUCGGCCACAAGGGGAUAGGGACGCCGGCCUUACUGAAACGGGAGGCAGGAGUGAGGACUAUUGGACGCUGGACCAAAGUCUGAUCAAGCAAUUCUGUGUGUAAGAUGAAGUUUUCGGAAUGAACAGUGGUUUAAGUUGGGAAGCGGUACCAACAGAAGAAGUCACGGCUAACUACGUGCCAGCAGCCGCGGUAAUUC